GACGAACGCUGGCGGCGUGCUUAACACAUGCAAGUCGAACGGAAAGGCCCUGCUUUUGUGGGGUGCUCGAGUGGCGAACGGGUGAGUAACACGUGAGUAACCUGCCCUUGACUUUGGGAUAACUUCAGGAAACUGGGGCUAAUACCGGAUAGGAGCUCCUGCUGCAUGGUGGGGGGUGGAAAGUUUCGGCGGUUGGGGAUGGACGCGCGGCUUAUCAGCUUGUUGGUGGGGUAGUGGCUUACCCAGGCUUUGACGGGUAGCCGGCCUGAGAGCGUGACCGGCCACAUUGGGCCUGAGAUACGGACCAGACUCCUACGGGAGGCAGCAGUGGGGAAUAUUGCACAAUGGGCGGAAGCCUGAUGAAGCAACGCCGCGUGCGGGAUGACGGCCUUCGGGUUGUAAACCGCUUUCGCCUGUGACGAAGCGUGAGUGACGGUAAUGGGUAAAGAAGCACCGGCUAACUACGUG
rnacentral:rRNA from 1 species